UCCCAGCAGGGAUAAAACCUGUUGGACACAGGCAGAGGCUGUUUGGGCAGGCAGAGAGGGGGUCUGGGGGCUCCGUGCUGGUUUAGGGGCUCCCUCUUUGAGUACUCGUUGUGGGUGUGCUCAAUGCUUGUUUGUGUGCUCAGUGAUCGUUGAGGUGCCCAAGGAUAAUUUAAGGGCUCAGUGAUUGUUUAGGUGCUCAGUGUUCCUGUGCCCAAGGAUUAUUUAUGUGUUAAAUGAUUGUUUAGGUGCCCAAGGAUUAUUUAAGUGCUCAAUAACUGUUUAGGUGCUCAAGGAUUAUUUAAGUGCUCAGUGAUUGUUUAGGUGCUCAGUGUUCAUGUGGCCAAGGAUUAUUUAAGUGUUCAAUGAUUGUUUAGGUGCCCAAGGAUUAUUUCAGUGCUCAGAGAUUGUUUAGGUGCCCAAGGAUUAUUUAAGGGCUUAAUGACUGUUUAGGUGCUCAAGGAUAAUUUAAGUGCUCAGUGAUUGUUUAGGUGCCCAAGGAUUAUUUAAGUGUUCAAUGAUUGUUUAGGUGCCCAAGGAUUAUUUAAGGGCUCAAUGACUGUUUAGGUGCUCAAGGAUUUUUAAGUGCUCAAUGUUUAGGUGCUCAGUGUUUGUGUGUGUGCUCAAGGCUUGUUUAAGUACUCAAUGAUUGUUUAGGUGCUCCAGGAUUUUUUGUGUGCUCAAUAUUUGGAUGUUUAGGUGCUCAAUGCUCGUGCUCAAUGUUUGUCUAAGUGUUCAAUGAUUGUUUAGGUGCCCAAGGAUUAUUUAAGUGUUCAGUGAUUGUUUAGGUGCCCAAGGAUUAUUUAAGGGCUCAAUGUUUAGGUGCUCAAUGUUUGUUUGUGUGCUCAGUGUUUGUUUAAGUACUCAGUGAUUGUUUAAACGCUCAAGGAUUUUUUAUGUGCUCAAUAUUUAGGUGUUCAGUGUUUAGGUGCUCAAUAUUUAAGUGCUCAGUGUUCAAGUGCCCAAUGUUUGUUUAGGUGAUCUGUGUUUAAGUGCUGAAUUUUUGGGUGCUAGGUGUUUGUUUAAGUGCUCAACCAUCAUUUAGGUGCUCAGUGUUUAGGUGCUGAAUGUUUGUUUAGGUGCUCAUUAAUUGUUUCAGUGCUCAGUGAUUGUUUAGGUGCUCAUUAAUUGUUUCAGUGCUCAGUGAUUGUUUAGGUGCUCAUUAAUUGUUUAUGUACUCAAUGAUUGUUUAAGUGCUCCAUAUGUAAGUGCCCAGUGUUUCUAUAGGUGCUCAAUGUUUAGGUGCUCACCGUUGGGGUGUUCAACACUGUUUAAGUGCUCAGUGUUUGUUUAGGUGCUCAAUGAUUUUUAGGUGCUCAGUGCUUAAGUGUUCAGUGUUAGUUUGGGUGUUCAAUGACUGUUCAGGUGCUCAAUAACUGUUCAAGCCCCCAGUGUUUCAGUGUUCAGUGUUAGUUUGGGUGUUCAGUGUUAGUUUGGGUGUUCAGUGACUGUUCAGGUGCUCAAUAACUGUUCAAGCCCCCAGUGUUUCAGUGCUCAGUGUUAGUUUGGGUGUUCAAUGACUGUUCAGGUGCUCAAUAACUGUUCAAGCCCCCAGUGUUUCAGUGUUCAGUGUUAGUUUGGGUGUUCAGUGACUGUUCAGGUGCUCAAUAACUGUUCAAGCCCCCAGUGUUUCAGUGUUCAGUGUUAGUUUGGGUGCUCAGUGUUAGUUUAGGUGCUCACUGUUGGAUGUUCAAUGAUUGUUUAAGUGCUCCAUGUUUGCUUAGGUGCCCAAGGAUUUUUUCAGUGCCCAGUGUUUGUUUAGGUGCUCAGGGGUUGUUUGGGCGUUCAGUGUUGAAGUGCCAAUGUUUGUUUGGAUGUUCAAUGAUUGUUUAAGUGCUCCAUGUUCAAGUGGUCAGUGUUUGUUUGGGUGUUAAAGGAUUGUGUAAGUGACUGUUUAAGUGCUCAGUGUUAGUUUAGGUGGUCGGUCAGGACUGUUCUCUUAGAAAGGCAAUUGGUGAAGGUUUCUUUGGGUAGUCCAGGAAUGUUUGUUUGGGUUCUGCAAUUGGUGCUUGUUUGUUUGGGCUGUUCAGGAAUGUUUUUGGGUUGUCCAAUUGGUGUUUGUUUGGGUAGUCCAGGAAUGGAUUUUUGGGUUGUCCAAUUGGUGUUUGUUUGGG